UACAGAGGUCUCAAGCGUUGUUCGGAUUCAUUGGGCGUAAAGAGCGUGUAGGCGGCCCGGUAAGUCCGCUGUGAAAGUCGAGGGCUCAACCCUCGAAUGCCGGCGGAUACUGUCGGGCUAGAGUCCGGAAGAGGCGAGUGGAAUUCCUGGUGUAGCGGUGAAAUGCGCAGAUAUCAGGAGGAACACCGGUGGCGAAGGCGGUUCUCUGGGCAUUACCUGACGCUGAGGAGCGAAAGUGUGGGGAGCGAACAGG
rnacentral:rRNA from 1 species